UACGUAGGGUGCAAGCGUUGUCCGGAAUUAUUGGGCGUAAAGAGCUCGUAGGCGGUUUGUCGCGUCUGCUGUGAAAACUCGGGGCUUAACUCCGAGCCUGCAGUGGGUACGGGCAGACUAGAGUGCGGUAGGGGAGACUGGAAUUCCUGGUGUAGCGGUGAAAUGCGCAGAUAUCAGGAGGAACACCGGUGGCGAAGGCGGGUCUCUGGGCCGUAACUGACGCUGAGGAGCGAAAGCGUGGGGAGCGAACAGG
rnacentral:rRNA from 1 species